rnacentral:rRNA from 1 species
UGGGGAAUAUUGCACAAUGGGCGAAAGCCUGAUGCAGCAACGCCGCGUGAGGGAAGACGGUUUUCGGAUUGUAAACCUCUGUUUUCGGUGACGAACAAAUGACGGUAACCGAGUAGGAAGCCACGGCUAACUACGUGCCAGCAGCCGCGGUAAUACGUAGGUGGCAAGCGUUAUCCGGAAUUACUGGGUGUAAAGGGAGCGCAGGCGGGAUAGCAAGUCAGCUGUGAAAACUAUGGGCUCAACCCAUAAACUGCAGUUGAAACUGAAUAGCUAGAGUGCAGGAGAGGUAAGUGGAAUUCCUAGUGUAGCGGUGAAAUGCGUAGAUAUUAGGAGGAACACCAGUGGCGAAGGCGGCUUACUGGACUGUAACUGACGUUGGGGCUCGAAAG